GGGGUGGAUGGGUGCUGGUGUGCCCCCCGGUCUUCAAAACCGGUCGAGGGGGGUUAGGAGCCUCCCGGGUGGGUUCGAUUCCCACACAUUCC
rnacentral:tRNA from 1 species